GGGGGUAGCCAAGCCAGGUCAACGGCGGCCGGCUCAAGACCGGCUCCCGUAGGGGUUCGUGGGUUCAAAUCCCACCCCCC
rnacentral:tRNA from 1 species